rnacentral:rRNA from 1 species
GAUGAACGCUGGCGGCGUGCCUAACACAUGCAAGUCGAGCGAACAGACUCGGAGUUUGCUCCUCUGACGUUUGCGGCGGACGGGUGUGUCACACGUGGAUACCCUACCUAUAAGACUGGGAUACCUUCGGGAAACCGGAUCUCAUACCGGAUAAUAUAUUGAACCGCAGGGUUCAUUAGUGAAAGACGUUUUUUCUGUCUCUUCUCGCUGGAUACCGGCUGGUUUGGAUAGUUGUUAGGGUCACGGCCUACCAAGGCAACGAUGCGUACCCGAACUGACAGGGUGAUCGGACACACCGGAACUGAGACACGGUCCAGACUCCUACGGGAGGCAGCAGAAGGGAAUGUGGCGCAAUGGGCGAAAGCAUGACGGAGCGAGGCCGAGUGUGUGGUGAAGGUCUUCGGAUCGUAAAGCUCUGUUAUGAGGGAAGAACAAAUGUGAGAGUAAAUGUAGACGUCUUGACGGUACCUACAGAGAAAGCAACGGCUAACUACGUG